CGGCCGGAUGGUCGCUCGGCGCCCGCCCUUGCCGGGGCAGGCGCCGGGAGGAAAGUCCGGGCUCCACGGAAGCACGGUGCCGGGUAACGCCCGGCGGGGGUAACCCCAGGGAAAGUGCCACAGAAAGCAAACCGCGCCGCCCGUCCCGCCGCGCGCGGGGCUGCGGCGCAAGGGUGAAAGGGUGCGGUAAGCGCGCACCGCGCCCCUGGCAACAGGGGCGGCACGGUAAACCCCACCGGGAGCAAGACCAUGUAGGGGUGGCCGCCGUCCCAUGUCAUCCCAUGACGUGGCGGACGGCAGGCGGGCUUCCGCGCCGCCACCCGGGUCGGUCGCGCGAGGCGUCCGGCAACGGGCGUCCCAGAGGAAUGGCCAUCGCCCGUCCUUCCGGACGGGUACAGAACCCGGCUUACAGGCCGUCUGG
rnacentral:RNase_P_RNA from 1 species